GUACGCUGGCGGCACGCCUUAUACAUGCAAGUCGAACGAAGUAGCAAUACUUAGUGGCAGACGGGUGAGUAACAUGUAGGUAUCUUCCCUUUGGUGAGGAAUAACACGAGGAAACUUGUGCUAAUACCUCAUAAGUCUUUACGGAGAAAGCUUUAUGCGCCGAAGGAUGAGCCUGCACUUGAUUAGUUUGUUGGUGGGGUAAUGGCCUACCAAGACUUUGAUCUAUAGCUGAUCUGAGAGGAUGAUCAGCCACAUUGGGACUGAGACACGGCCCAAACUCCUACGGGAGGCAGCAGUAGGGAAUAUUGCACAAUGGAGGAAACUCUGAUGCAGCGAUGCCGCGUGAGUGAAGAAGGCCUUUGGGUUGUAAAGCUCUUUCGUCGGGGAAGAAAAUGACUGUACCCGAAUAAGAAGGUCCG
rnacentral:rRNA from 1 species